rnacentral:piRNA from 1 species
UGAAUCAAGGUGAAUCAAUCUGAAAUU